UUACUCUACACUAUUUGUAAAGCACAGUAACCACUAAGUUUGCCAUGCCUUUAAUAUCUUUUUGUGAUGUAAUUGUAAUUCAGUGUUUUUUCUGUCUUGCAGUUACGUCGGAUUACAUACUCCACAACAACCUGUAAUCCAGCAGAUCUUUAAAGAAGCCAUCUCUUGUAAAAUUUCUCUCUCUCUCUCUCUCUCUCUCUCUCUCUCGCUCUGCUAGAAUUAACAGGGAACUUCAACUCCACGCUCCCAAUGCUGAUAUUGAAGAAGCUGUCAAGGGGGCUGAACAAGUCCUUCAAAGGAUCAACCCUUCACAGGAAGGCCUGUCAUGAGAUUUGAAUUUGACCAUCUUGUGCAUUUAUGAAGAAGACCAAAAGCUGCAAAGGCAAACACUUCCAAUGGAUUUCUCACAGAUUACUUAAUCAUUCUUCAUCAGCUCUUCACAAUAUCAGCCCAUUCAAAAGCUUCCAGAUCUUCCUCUCUUGUGUGACACAUCUGCUCUCAGUCCUUUACUGCCAACCUCCAGUCUUAGCAUUUCUGCUUGUAUUCAUUUUUCCUCUACAUUCAUCACUCCAAUCUCUACUAUAAGCACUCCUGUAUAUAUAUAUAUACACAUAAUAAUUAUUAUUAUUAUUAACCAUUUAUUUGUUUUGCAUUUAUUCACAAUAGAAGCAAACAAUGAUUACAGGAUAUAUGUUUUUAAAGGUGAUAAUUGUAAAAUAUUGGAGCAUUGUUCUUAAUCAUUUUUGCCUAUUUGGUUGAUAAAGGGAAGAAAACAAUAUAUUUUCAACUGUAGCCUUGAUUAUUCUUUGGCAUCUUUUGUCAGGAUUCAAGGUAAACAAAUUCCCUUUUUAUUUUUGAAUAUUAAACUUAUGUUUUUUGAAGGGAGUUUCUGUUGCAAUUUUGUUUGUUUGUUUUCACUUAGUUACCUCUAUGCAUUUUUUUUUUUUUUUUUUUUAUCAACUUUUCUUUUUUUUUCAUAGUGGAAUAAACUGGAGAGAGACUGUUCUGGGCACUAUGUUUAUCUGCGAAAAGUUUGACAUAUCAAUAAACACUGUAAAAUGACUAGACAA